CAGGGAGGCCAGAGAGCAGGAGCCACGCUUCUCCUGCAGGGCUGUAGCACCCCGGCUGCUGCAGACAUGGCCCUGCAUCCCUGCUCAGAUAAGGGCUCCUUUGUUGCUUCACUGUGUGUAAAUGCCCAGACCUGCCUUCUCCAGCAGGUCUGGAAGAGAAAAGGACAGACACAGGAGAAGAGGAGGUGGAGGAAGCACACGCUGAAAACCACUGGAACAAGCGAUGGUGGAGGCAGCUAUGAAAGAUACCUGGUUAAAAUGCAAGCUGGAGUAUCCCAAGCCACCGCCAGCAGGGAGAGAGGACUGGUCCUCCUGUCCUUCCUGGGCUCCACAGACAUGGACACUCAUGGUCUGCCUCUGAUGAAUGCUGUAUCCAGCUCCCCUACAGAUUGGAGGGAGAUCUCUGGUGGCAACCUGCACUAGGGUUCAGGCUGAGCUGCCAUAGAGGUAAGUCCUGUCCCAGGGCAGAAGGCACUACCCACUCCUCGGAGAUGCCUUCCAGGCCUGUGUUUCUGCCAUUCAUUCAAGCGUGGUUGUAGACAGACAGGAAAAUAUUUCAUUUCAGACAAGUUAAUGAACUCCCAUUUUCAGCCCUUAGUCCUUUAAAUAGCAGAACAGGAAAUGUGAGUAACUUGCAACAUCUGACAGAAAAGGAAAGUAGCUGCUUCAUUCUUUUAUGGCCUGUUACCCUAUCGAACAAUGAAGUGAGAAUGUGUUGGAACCAACCUGAUGAGGUGCUCUCUGCUGUGAGGUGCCUAUUAGGCUGUUUGUUUUUCCCCUAUUUAAAGGUGCCAUUUGCCUUACCAUGGAUCCUGAGUAAGGUAACCACAUGCCCAGUGCUGGCUGAGAACCCUAAGCAGUGAAUUGUUAUUUCAAGGUCUGAGAAAUGCCUUGACAUCUGGAAAUUAUCCACUUUAC
rnacentral:lncRNA from 1 species